CUAUUUUUAAUGUUUACUUCAUAGGAAAAACAAGACAUGUUCUAGUUUCUUUACUUUUACAUUUUAAUACAAUUUAAACCAUUCUGUAAACAGUUGUUAGCUUCUUCAGACUCAAGUUAUUUCUAGAUAUAGAUUGUAUAUGGAAUAAUAUUAGUUUUAGCUACCUCUUACCACAUUCCCCAGUGUCACUUUCUCAGUAUUAAAAGGGACAAAUGUGACUUACUUCUUAAUAAGCAGCAAUUUGGAUUCUUCAGUAUGUUGUGAAGCUUUUGUGCUGUGAGGUCUACCUUCAUGUCAAUGUGUUACCUGCGGGUGUGACGAAGGGAGAACCUGACAAGUUUCAUCAAAUCUUUAUUACUGAACACUGCUCUCAACCAUGGGUCACAGCCUGAACAUCAACCCCUCGGGAUUUGGCUUCUUAGUAAAGGACUGCCAAGGAAUUAGGGGUGCAUGAGAGUUCACACAGAGAUGUUUUCGGACUUGAGGCAGAAAAUUUCCAUGACGUGAAUGUUGUAAGGCCUGUGACUAGAGAUGACAGUAUUGCAAGAUGUGCCUGCGUCCCAGAUUCUCUGAGAUCAGACAGUGGUGGCUGCAAAGUGUGGGGAGCCCUGGCCCCUUACAUUUCCACCACGAGUAACUUUGCAGCUGCGCAGAGUCCACUGAGGAUGGGUCCAGCCUGUGCUUUGCUGUGUUCAUGGUUCGGAGCCGCUCUUGCAGAAGGCUCUGCCAGAUGUGUGAUUGUGCCAAUCAGGAGCUGAUGGGCCUAACAAAUUUUACCUAGCAGAAAACUGCCUGCAGCCUCAGAGGACCUUGUCCUGCCCUUGGGAGGAAACACAGCAGGAAGCCCUCCUGCCUCAGCCUCCCUUGCACUGCGCCCUUUAAACUACCCUGUGGGACAAAAGGAGGCCUCGCAGCAGGUGCUGGACCUCAGGAAACCUCUGUGGGUGAGGACACUGGGCAGUUCACUCCAUAACUUUACAGAAAGUGAAAUAAUGAGUCUGUCUUAAGACUGCAUAGACAAUUAUAUUGAAUUUUAAUGAAAUGCUUUUUCAAAAUGCCUCUGCAUAGCAUUUUUGAGCUCAUUUUCCUUGUCUGUCAGACUUGGACCAUCGGAUUAUAGGGUUCCCACAGCCCUGCCGCGGUAGUUCAUUUGCAUCCUUGUUGAGCACGCUGGCCCUGAGCCUUUCCCAGCACAGCGUGCUAACACGGGACGCAAGAGGUGGCUCACAUGGCACUCAGUUGCUCUCCUCUCCUGUCCAGUGAUGUUGAUUUCCUUAAAUAUAAUCAGCCAUCUGGGGGUCCUGUUACUUCAUCGUCGGAAGCUUCGGGUUGGCGUGGUGUUUCUCUGGGUGUCUGUGCUUAUCUCUCUCAGAAGUGCAUGGAAAUUAUAUCCUCCUACUCAUAUCUCAAGCCCGUCACCUUGUGCCCAGAGACAGGCUGCUGAUGCCUCGAGGACAGGAAGAAUGGGCCACAGUGAUAGUAGCCGCGUUCCUGCUCCCUGUUUAUCUCCCGGGUGCCAGCUCUUGCACCUUCCCCAGCGCGCUGGGCAUACUUUGAAAUGACGGCUCUGUCAAGCUUUUCGUGGUGUGAGGACAUCCAGACAGCCACCCUUGCCAAACAGAGAAAUUGCACCCGCGCCGCCCCCCAGUCACCUUGGCUCUGUGUGGCCAAUGACAAAACGCGAACAGGCAGAGCCUACUGUGGUGCAGGGAGAGAAGACGCGCUUUCUAAAGAAGGAAAACUAUUUUGGAACUUCUGGAUGUGACAACCUUUCUUGUUCACACUCAGUAAACACAUUAGUUGGAGUCUUUUGAUUGCCAAUUAAUAAUUCCUUUGCCCGGAAUCCUGGCACUGAUGCUGUUUUUAGCACUGAAAAUUCCCCUGGGUACAGGGAGAAGUUUAACCGCGCUGAGUGUUAUGAUCCCCAAGUGUGGCGGUGACCUUGGAUCUAGUAUAAUUCACGGACUUUCCACCAGAAGGCCCAGCAUUUGCUGUUAGGAGGUGCUUUGGAAAACAGUAACAGAAAGACUUGGACUGAACUGCUUUCUGGAGCAGGUCACAUCUCCUAUCACUGACACACUCAGGGGAUGCAAGGACAAGGUCAGGAGACUUCAGCCCUCUCGGGGCCAAGUGGUUCCAAUCUGCAACCCUGGUCAAGACACAAUGUUCACUUCUAAGUCCAGGGAGACAAGCAAAGUGAUCACGAAGGGGAGCAAAGACCGUCAGGACUCUGAAGCAAAGCCCAGGGCUUGGCCCAGUGGCGUCUGUCGGCUGCCCUUUGUGCUAAGUCAGGUCUCAGGGAACUGCUAUUUUCCUGCAUCUGAAAGGUGACACACAGGGUUCAAACUGGAAGUUUUCUGCUAUAGUACAGGAUGGCCUGUGAGAGCUCUGUGAGAUGGAGCCACUCCUUUGCAUGCAAAUAUAAAACUUCUUCCAGUUAAAUGGUCAGAUCUAUAAUAAACAGAGGUUCAUCUCAAAUACAGUGUAAACAGAGCUGACCAAGUUUAGUGAACAAACCACUUCCUACUGAAGCCCAGUAAAUUGUACAAGUGAUCCUGGUUUUUACAGCUCCAAAGUCAGGAUUCAAGAAGGUUCAAGUGAAAGUUCUGAUAUUUUGUUUCACCUUGAAUGGGCUUCUCACUGUCCUUGUGACUCAGUUUCCUGACCAUACCAGAUGAAGCAGCUGAAGCGGGUGAAUGAGAUCUGCAGAUUUCUGCCUCCCAGAGAGAGUUCUGAUCUCAAGCAAUAGAUUUCAGAGCCCAGGACUGUGUUUGAAGGCAUCUGUGUGAAGCCAGGCUCGUGUGCCCAUUAGUUGGUGACGCUCUCACAGACAACUUGCUGAGUGGCAGGGGAAGAGAGAACUUCAGUAGUGCCUGUAGGUCAGGCGCAGAAGGAUGCCACAGCUGACCGCGGAGGGUACGUCCUGCAGGACGGGACGGCAUCACUGCCUGCUGGUCACGGUGCUCUCGUCCUUAUCAGGUCUCUGGUGUCAGAAGCCAUGUUAAGCUGAUUCCUGUCACCAGCCCAGAGGGGCCCAGACUGUCUCGUACUCCUCGGAAAAGGCGUGGGAUGGUGUCCAGCUGGAGGGCAUGAGCCCCGUGUUUUAUUUAGGCGGGUGAGAGAGAAGUUUCCAAUGUCCCGCCGGGGAACCUGGUGCGUGAGAGGGCAGCACUCGGGGUCUGAGGGUUGCUGAGAACACAGCAGGGCAAGAGGUCAGGGCCAUGGGCUGCAGCCAUUCCCUUCUCCCAUGGACGCUUGGAGGUGAAGUAUAGGGAAGCCUGGAUGUCACUGGGCCACAACCCCAGAAACGGCCCCUUCUCAGGCUGUCGGGAGCAGCACAUGGAAAACGGGUUUCUCCCGUUGUUCUCACCUGAGCCCUGCCAUCCUGGGACCCUGCCUGGGACUGCUCCCUUGUCUCUGUCCCUCCCCGCUCCUCUUCCCUGUUUGCCUGCUGACUUCUCUGCUGGCGGAGUGGGAGCCCUCUGAGAGCCUGCUCCCUCUUCCUGCCAGCGCCUGCCUGCCCCUUCCAGCUCCACGUCGGCCUCUCUGCCUCUCUGCCCGUCUCUUCAAGGGCUCAGCUCUCACACCGUGGCCAAACUCUCCUACACCCGCCCAGUAUGGUGCUCGCCCCAGUGGAUUCCCCCCCACCGUCAUUUUGCCUUAAAAAAUUCCAUCAGCUCUCCCAUCUCCGACACUCCCGUAAGUUCCUUUCUUUCCUUUUAUAACCAACCACUUUGACAGCAGCUGUGCUCUAUCUCUGUUUUCUCCUCUAUUUGCUCCAACAAGACAUCCCUCUCAGUCUUCCAGAACUGCUCUGGUCAGGUCCGUCAUGCCUUUUGUUGGCUGAAUUCAGUGCUGCCUGCUCUUCUGGUUCCAUUUGGCGGGAAGAUCACCGUGUGAUCUUGGUACUCUGCGAGGGCCGCACAGGCUCAGUCCCUUUGCCUGCUUAGUUCUGCCCGCCCCUUCAACAAAGAUGCUCUCUACUGUUCAGUCUGGGCUCCUUCUCCUCCAGGCCACCAUCAGUCCUGUCAGUCCCAGGGAGCAUCCAUCACUGGUGAGCACAUCACUGAGGUUUGACCCUCACUGCCCUGGGCACCCAGGACUCCUUUCCACCUGAAUGGUUUCAUGAGUGCACCUGUUCUUUCCCCAUGUUAGCAGAUGCCUAAUGAGCCCCACCAAGCAUUAGCUUUGAUUUAUUCUUUCUCUUACUUCCCGCAUGGAAUCCACCAGCAACACGGGCAAGCAUGCUCACCUUCUGCAUCGUAGGAAACAGCCUAUGCAGGAGGAAGGAUACUCCUCUGUGAAUAUAAAACUUUUACCAAUAAAAGCUACAGGGCCUGGGCUUUUCUUUGGGGUAAGUUUUUGAUAAUUUUACUCCUUAAGAAGACUACUUAGAUUUCUAUUUUAUCUCAUAUCAUUAUUCACAAGGGUUUUAAAGGUUUGACCAUUUCAUUUGAGUUGUCAAAUUGAUGUACUCAAAGUUGUCCAUAAUGUUUAUUUAUUAUCUGUCUAGAGACUAGAGGACCUGUGAUCAAUCCCUUUCACUCUUGAUUUUGUUUAUGUUGUUUGUUUUUCACCUACUCAGCCUGGCCAAAGGCUUAUACAUUUUAUUGAUGUCUUCAAAGAACUCUCCUUUUGUCUAAAUAAACUUCUUUCUUAUUAA